CUUCUCCCUCACUUUCUCAGAAGAAAUGGAUGAUGAUUUAUCAGACCACUGCACAUUGAUCUAAAAAGUCCAGCUCUUCGUAGAAAGACGAGUCUCUUUUGUGUCUCAGCACCUUUGAUGAGCAGAAACUGCUGUGAACCAGCAAACUUCAGCAUCCAGUUGUAAUGAGGGAAAAAAUACUUACACUGUAGUAGAGUUAGGAUUUGCUUUUCUACAGAAGAGAUCUGCCUUCUCAUCCUCUUCUUCAUGUGAGUAGGAUCUGCAUGGCUCCAGAGCUGUAGCUUGUUCCAGGUCAUUCAGAAAAUGUAGCUCCAGCAGCAGAAGCUUCACAGAUGUCAGAUUCAAAGUAAGACAUAACAGGAUUAGCAGCAUCAACUUUACACAGAUGAAGAUUCCCUCUAGCAAAAGGUGUAUUCUCCAGGCGUCAAUCUGGCCAGUUAAGUUCAUUUUGUAUUGACUAAA